rnacentral:rRNA from 1 species
GACGAACGCUGGCGGCGUGCUUAACACAUGCAAGUCGAACGGGCCUGUCUUCUUUUUUGGGGGUGGGUUGAGUGGCGAACGGGUGAGUAUCACGUGAGUAACCUGCCCUUCGGUCCUGGAUAACCGCUUGAAAGGGCGGCUAAUACGGGGUGGUCCGGUUGGUCCGCAUGGGCUGGUCGGGAUAGAUUCACUGUUUUUGGUGUUUCGGCGGGGGAUGGGCUCGCGGCCUAUCAGCUUGUUGGUGGGGUGAUGGCCUACCAAGGCGGUGACGGGUAGCCGGCCUGGGAGGGUGGGCGGCCACACUGGGACUGAGGUACGGCCCAGACUCCUGCGGGAGGGAGCAGUGGGGGGUAUUGCACAAUGGGCGGAAGCCGGAUGCAGCGACGUCGCGUGAGGGAUGGAGGCCUUCGGGUUGUGAACCUCUGUUUCCGGUGGUGAAGGCCCUGUCCGUGUGGUGGGGUUGACGGUAGCCGGGGAUGAAGCGCCGGCUAACUACGUG